rnacentral:snRNA from 1 species
GGUGAGGGUGAUCUAGCUGUGACAUCUGUCACCCCACUGAUCGCCAGGGUUAAUUCAGCUGAUCUGGCUGGCUAGGAGGGUGUCCCUUUCCUCCCUCACUGCUCCAUGUGUGUCCCUCCCGAAGCUGCGCGCUCAGUCGAAGAGGACGGCCUUCCACAAAUAAAGACGGAUGGAUCAGUCUUUGGUUGAGGGUAUCUGAGUAGCUGCGCUCCCUUGCUAGAACCUCCAAACAAGCUCUCAAAAGGGAAAAUAUAAAAUUCUAAAAAGUUUACUCAUUGAUGAGAACCCAAUACUAUCCAU